GCAGUCGUAGUUUAGGUGGUAAAACACUUUCUUACUUUGUUAAAGAAUCGAACUUGUUAACAAAACGUGAGGGUCGAAGGUUCAACUCCUUCCGAUUGCA
rfam:Entamoeba histolytica HM-1:IMSS scf_1104750517413 genomic scaffold, whole genome shotgun sequence.